AUUGGCCUCAAAAUCUCAUCCACGCAAACUCUAAUCCAUUUCCAACCGAAAAAAAUCCUGCUGCCCUUCUUUUCUCACUUCUUCUGCAGCAACUCACAACCAAUUGCUAGAAAGGAGCUUCCUUUCCUCUUCUUCUCCUUCUCCUUUUUUACAUCAUCACAACCAUGGCCGCUGCAGUAACUGCUGCAGUCUCUUUUCCUUCCUCCAAUUCCAUUUCUCUCUCCUCAAGAACUUCUCUCGUAGCUCCAGAAAGAAUCACCUUUAAGCAGGUUCCUGUUUAUUUCAAAGAUGUUUCUG
rnacentral:misc_RNA from 1 species